GUGACUUGGAGCGAAUCUCAGAAAUAACGUCUCAGUUCGGAUUGUAGUCUGCAACUCGACUACAUGAAGCUGGAAUCGCUAGUAAUCGCGGAUCAGCAUGCCGCGGUGAAUACGUUCCCGGGCCUUGUACACACCGCCCGUCACACCAUGAGAGUCGGGAACACCCGAAGUCCGUAGCCUAACCGCAAGGGGGGCGCGGCCGAAGGUGGGUUCGAUAAUUGGGGUGAAGUCGUAACAAGGUAGC
rnacentral:rRNA from 1 species